rnacentral:rRNA from 1 species
AGGAUGAACGCUGGCGGCGUGCUUAACACAUGCAAGUCGAACGGAGGGUAGAUUUCGGUUUACCUUCAGUGGCGCACGGGUGAGUAACACGUAGCUGACCUGCCCUCGAGAGUGGGAUAACGGUUCGAAAGGACUGCUAAUACCGCAUAAGCUCACGAUCUUUAGAGGAUCGAGAGAAAAGGCGAAAGCCGCUGGAGGAGGGGGCUGCGGACCAUCAGCUAGUUGGUGGGGUAAUGGCCUACCAAGGCGACGACGGAUAGGGGGCCUGAGAGGGUGGUCCCCCACACUGGGACUGAGACACGGCCCAGACUCCUACGGGAGGCAGCAGUGAGGAAUAUUGCGCAAUGGGCGAAAGCCUGACGCAGCGACGCCGCGUGGGUGAGGAAGGCCUUCGGGUCGUAAAGCCCUUUUUCUGCGUGACGAGAGAGGACGGUAGCGCAGGAACAAGUCUCGGCUAACUACGUGCCAGCAGCCGC